rnacentral:rRNA from 1 species
UACAGAGGUCUCAAGCGUUGUUCGGAUUCAUUGGGCGUAAAGGGUGCGUAGGCGGCGCGGUAAGUCGAGUGUGAAAUCUCGGAGCUUAACUCCGAAACUGCAUUCGAUACUGCCGUGCUUGAGGACUGGAGAGGAGACUGGAAUUUACGGUGUAGCGGUGAAAUGCGUAGAUAUCGUAAGGAAGACCAGUGGCGAAGGCGGGUCUCUGGACAGUUCCUGACGCUGAGGCACGAAGGCCAGGGGAGCAAACGGG